rnacentral:rRNA from 1 species
AGUGAACGCUGGCGGUAUGCCUAACACAUGCAAGUCGAACGGCAGCACAGGAAGAGCUUUCUCGUACGGUUGGCGACGGGCGGGCGAGUCAUGAAUACAUCGCAAUCUACUUUGUCUUGGAGGACAACGGACGGAAGCUUACGCUAAUAGCGCAUAUGACCUACGGGUGAGAGCAAGCGAUCUUCUGACCUUGCGCGAUUGAAUGAGCCGGUGUCGCAUUGGCUAGUUGGCGGGGUAAAGGCCCACCAAGGCGAGGAUCCUUAGCUGGUCUGAGAGGGUGACCAGCCACACUGGAACUGAGACACGGUCCAGACUCCUACGGGAGGCAGCAGUGGGGAAUUUUGGACAAUGGGCGCAAGCCUGAUCCAGCCAUACCGCGUGGGUGAAGAAGGCCUUCGGGUUGUAAAGCUCUUUUGUUCGGAAAGAAAAGAUGUAGGUUAAUACCCCGAUGUUCUGACGGUACCGAAAGAAUAAGCACCGGCUAACUUCGUG